AGACUGUCUGCAUGUCACUGAUUGUGUGUGACUGUCUGCCUGUGACUGUGUGAUGCUGCCUGUAACUGUGCUAUAGUCUGCCUGUAAUUGUGCGUGUGACUGCCUUCAACAUGGAUGCUGUCCAGGAAGUAGGAGGGUCUGGGAGGGAGGUUCUGCCGGAGAUUGGCAGGGAUGUGUCAGCUGACCGGAGUUCGCGGACGGUUCGCGACAUCACUAGUGACCACGGGUAAUGGGGAAUCAGUGUUCCAUUCCAUACAGGGACCCUGAGAAACGGCUACCACAUGCAAGGAAGGCAGCAGGCGCGCAAAUGACCCACUCCCGAUGCGGGAAGGUAGU